GACGAACGCUGGCGGCGUGCUUAACACAUGCAAGUCGAACGGAAAGGCCCUGCUUUUGUGGGGUGCUCGAGUGGCGAACGGGUGAGUAACACGUGAGUAACCUGCCCUUGACUUUGGGAUAACUUCAGGAAACUGGGGCUAAUACCGGAUAGGAGCUCCUGCUGCAUGGUGGGGGUUGGAAAGUUUCGGCGGUUGGGGAUGGACUCGCGGCUUAUCAGCUUGUUGGUGGGGUAGUGGCUUACCAAGGCUUUGACGGGUAGCCGGCCUGAGAGGGUGACCGGCCACAUUGGGACUGAGAUACGGCCCAGACUCCUACGGGAGGCAGCAGUGGGGAAUAUUGCACAAUGGGCGGAAGCCUGAUGCAACAACGCCGCGUGCGGGAUGACGGCCUUCGGGUUGUAAACCGCUUUCGCCUGUGACGAAGCGUGAGUGACGGUAAUGGGUAAAGAAGCACCGGCUAACUACGUGCCAGCAGCCGCGGUGAUACGUAGGGUGCGAGCGUUGUCCGGAUUUAUUGGGCGUAAAGGGCUCGUAGGUGGUUGAUCGCGUCGGAAGUGUAAUCUUGGGGCUUAACCCUGAGCGUGCUUUCGAUACGGGUUGACUUGAGGAAGGUAGGGGAGAAUGGAAUUCCUGGUGGAGCGGUGGAAUGCGCAGAUAUCAGGAGGAACACCAGUGGCGAAGGCGGUUCUCUGGGCCUUUCCUGACGCUGAGGAGCGAAAGCGUGGGGAGCGAACAGGCUUAGAUACCCUGGUAGUCCACGCUGUAAACGGUGGGUACUAGGUGUGGGGUCCAUUCCACGGGUUCCGUGCCGUAGCUAACGCUUUAAGUACCCCGCCUGGGGAGUACGGCCGCAAGGCUAAAACUCAAAGGAAUUGACGGGGCCCCGCACAAGCGGCGGAGCAUGCGGAUUAAUUCGAUGCAACGCGUAGAACCUUACCUGGGUUUGACAUGGAUCGGGAGUGCUCAGAGAUGGGUGUGCCUCUUUUGGGGUCGGUUCACAGAUGGUGCAUGCCUGUCGUCAGCUCGUGUCGUGAGAUGUUGGGUUAAGUCCCGCAACGAGCGCAACCCUUGUUCACUGUUGCCAGCACGUUAUGGUGGGGACUCAGUGGAGACCGCCGGGGUCAACUCGGAGGAAGGUGGGGAUGACGUCAAGUCCUCAUGCCCCUUAUGUCCAGGGCUUCACGCAUGCUACAAUGGCUGGUACAGAGAGUGGCGAGCCUGUGAGGGUGAGCGAAUCUCGGAAAGCCGGUCUCAGUUCGGAUUGGGGUCUGCAACUCGACCUCAUGAAGUCGGAGUCGCUAGUAAUCGCAAAUCAGCAACGCUGCGGUGAAUACGUUCCCGGGGC
rnacentral:rRNA from 1 species